GGGGGCAAUGGUGCUGGGCGCCCCGCGGGCUGCAAACCCGUUGGCCCGGUCUAAAAAACCGGGAGGAGGUUCGAUUCCCCUUGCCCCCUCCA
rnacentral:sRNA from 1 species